AAAUCUAUCAAAUAUCAUUUUAUAUUAAAAAUUCUAACUCUUUUCUCACAUUCUUCUUUCUCGUACAAAAAUAAAAAAACUAAAUUACUUCAUUUCCAUCCUCCUCAAAUAUCCAAGCCUCAAAAGAAAAUUUCAUAUACAAAUCCCUAACUUUUAAUUCCCAAUGUCCCUAAAUGGAGGCACAACAGCCAAUCCCAUCUUCUGGCAGCAACUCCAGCAAGCGAUCUGCCGUCGAGCGGUCUGCCUGAUUUCGACGACUUCAAUCCCUUCUAUCAUAAACAUUUUCGGACACCAUUGUUUAAUUCUAUACUGAAACCAGGUGUAACAAUUGUAUAAUAUAUUAUCCCUUUCUGUGCUAUUUGUGUAAUGAAAAUUAGCUAAGUUUGAAAUUCUGGAGUUUAAGUUAUGGGUUUUAGAUAGGGUGGAGGAAGCCGGGAUGGCGGUGGCGGCGGUGGAUAUGAUUUUCGGUGGACAUUUUGGAUUUUUUUGAAUGUUUGUUGCUAAUAAUUGUUCUUCUAUUUGUACAGUGUUGAAAAGGAAGAGUGUUGAAAAGAAAAAAGCCGAUUAGAUUAGAUCUUCUGGUAGUUUUGAUGAGUUUUGAGAAUUUUCUGAUGAAACUUGGGGGGGGAGGAUAUCAAUGAUUUUAGGACGCAUGAAUUGUAUAGAAAUUGAUGUAUCUAUUGUGUAGGCUAUGAAUUGUAUGAAAAUUGGUGUAUCUAUGGUGUAUGAAUUGUAUAGAGAUUGGUG
rnacentral:lncRNA from 1 species